rnacentral:rRNA from 1 species
ACGCUCGACACCUACGGGAGGCAGCAGUUGGGAAUAUUGGACAAUGGAGGAAACUCUGAUCCAGUGACGCCGCGUGAAGGAAGAAGGUCUUCGGAUUGUAAACUUAUUUUGUCAGGGAAGAAAAAAUGACUGUACCUGAAGAAAAAGACACCGGCUAACUACGUGCCACAGCCGCGGUAAUCUGAGGCGGGCGUGGCGAAGGC